CUUCUGUAGUGUAGUUCUACUGUAGUGUAGUUCUACUGUAGUGUAGUUCUACUGUAGUGUAGUUCUUCUGUAGUCUAGUUCUACUGUAGUGUAGUUCUACUGUAGUGUAGUUCUACUGUAGUGUAGUUCUACUGUAGUGUAGUUCUUCUGUAGUGUAGUUCUACUGUAGUGUAUUCUUCUGUAGUGUAGUUCUUCUGUAGUGUAGUUCUUCUGUAGUGUAGUUCUACUGUAGUGUAGUUCUACUGUAGUGUAGUUCUACUGUAGUGUAGUUCUACUGUAGUGUAGUUCUUCUGUAGUGUAGUUCUACUGUAGUGUAGUUCUACUGUAGUCUAGUUCUACUGUAGUGUAGUUCUACUGUAGUGUAGUUCUACUGUAGUCUAGUUCUAUUGUAGUGUAGUUCAACUGUAGUGUAUUCUUCUGGAGUGUAGUUCUAUUCUAAAGUAUUUAAACUGGAACAACCAUUUCAGUAAUUGAGUCAAUAUAUCCAAGUAACAGAUUAAUAGUUUUUCUGUAUCAAGGUCAGAAGGCUUUGUAUUCUUGAGUCUUUCCAAAAGUGAACAACCUGGAAAAACUUCCCCCGAACAGAGAGAUGGAGGACAUUCAUCACAGCUGUAUCUGCAGAGUGUUGAGGUUAAACUAACAAUCCCAACUAAAUAACUACAUAGAUACGGAUGUGAGAGGAGAAUGCAGAAUCAAUCUGUAUGGAAUAUAAGACCAACAAUCUGUAUGGAAUAUAAGACCAACAAUCUGUAUGGAAUAUAAGACCAACAAUCUGUUUGCAAUGUAAACCUUCUAAUAAAAGCAAUACUUAUUAAAUCAAGUUCCCUCCUCCAGGUAAAACAAUGUAAAGCCUGGUAAUCCUUCUGUGUUGUCAUCUAUCCUGACACACUAGUUCCCUCCUCCAGGUAAAACAAUGUAAAGCCUGGUAAUCCUUCUGUGUUAUCAUCUAUCCUGACACACUACUU
ensembl:lncRNA